UACGAAGGGUGCAAGCGUUACUCGGAAUUACUGGGCGUAAAGCGUGCGUAGGUGGUGAGUUAAGUCUGUCGUGAAAGCCCCGGGCUCAACCUGGGAAUUGCAUUCGAGACUGCAUGGCUAGGGUGCGGAAGAGGGAAGCGGAAUUUCCGGUGUAGCGGUGAAGUGCGUAGAUAUCGGAAGGAACACCAGUGGCGAAAAGCGGCUUCCUGGUCCAGCACCGACGUUCAGGCACGAAAGCGUGGGGAGCAAACAGG
rnacentral:rRNA from 1 species